rnacentral:rRNA from 1 species
CCUACGGGAGGCAGCAGUGGGGAAUAUUGCACAAUGGGGGAAACCCUGAUGCAGCAACGCCGCGUGGGUGAAGGAGCGUUUCGGCGCGUAAAGCUCUAUCAGCAGGGAAGAAAAUGACGGUACCUGAGUAAGAAGCCCCGGCUAACUACGUGCCAGCAGCCGCGGUAAUACGUAGGGGGCAAGCGUUAUCCGGAUUUACUGGGUGUAAAGGGAGCGUAGACGGCAGUGCAAGUCUGGAGUGAAAGGCGGGGGCUCAACCCCCGGACUGCUCUGGAAACUGUACGGCUGGAGUGCAGGAGAGGUAAGUGGAAUUCCUAGUGUAGCGGUGAAAGGCGUAGAUAUUAGGAGGAACACCAGUGGCGAAGGCGGCUUACUGGACUGUAACUGACGUUGAGGCUCGAAAGCGUGGGGAGCAAACAGGAUUAGAUACCCUUGUAGUC